rnacentral:rRNA from 1 species
CCUGGCGGCUAUAGCGCUGUGGUCCCACCCGAUCCCAUCCCGAACUCGGAAGUGAAACGCAGCUGCGCCGAUGGUAGUGUGAAUCCUCAUGCAAGAGUAGGUCACCGCCAGGGGCUUUAUCCCUCAAACGCCUUCCCUCCAGGGAAGGCGUUUGUCUUUGCGCG